GCGAAAACUUUACAAUGCUGGCAACAGCGAUAAGGGAACCUCGAGUGCCAGGUUACAAAUCUGGCUGUCGAGAUGCCUAAAAAGCAUUUCAUAGCAAGGGCCGGGCAAGACCGGUGCCAGCCGCCGCGGUAACACCGGCGGCUCGAGUGGUAACCGUUAUUAUUGGGUCUAAAGGGUCUGUAGCCGGCCGGAUAAGUCUCUUGAGAAAUCUGGCAGCUUAACUGUCAGGCUUUCAGGAGAUACUGUCUGGCUCGAGGCCGGGAGAGGUGAGAGGUACUUCAGGGGUAGGGGUGAAAUCUUGUAAUCCUUGAAGGACCACCAGUGGCGAAGGCGUCUCACCAGAACGGACCUUACGGCAAGGGACGAAAGCUAGGGGCACGAACA
rnacentral:rRNA from 1 species